rfam:Salmo salar isolate Sally breed double haploid chromosome ssa28, whole genome shotgun sequence.
UGUAUUCACUACUGUAAGUUGCUCUGGAUAAGAGUGUCUGCUAAAUGACUGUGA